GGUCAUGAGUGCCAGCACACAGCCCCGGCUUGCUGGCCGGCAACCCUCCUCCGCGGUGGGGUGCCCCGGGUGAAGACCUGGCCUGUUCGCACGCAAGGCGACGGGCAAGCGCGAGGU
rnacentral:ncRNA from 16 species